GCGGGGUGGGGUGAAUGGAUGGUCAGUUCAAAUUCAUAUUUUCUUGAAACUCAUGAUUUAAUUUAUUGGUUAGUGUGCAUGGCCUGCUACAGACAUAGUACGUACAUACUGAAACGGUGUGGAUGGUUUUGUACUCUGUGGAAAAGCAGCAACUUCUUUUGUAAAUCAACCCAAUUCGAUAAUCGAGACGUUGCGUACAAGAAGCAAUUACUAAGAAAAAAUGGCCUUUUUUUGCUUUAUCAUGUAUCAUAUUGCACAUAAUCAAAUUGAGACAGUCAAAAUGAAUAAUAAUUCAGGAAAUGGCAUCUUGCUUUAUGAUGAAUAAUAUUGUUGGACAUGUGGUAAGUGCAUACCAUUAUUCAAAACUAUGUUAACCCAGACACGAAAUAUAAAAAGUUGUACUAUUUACAGAAAAUAGAGAUGAGCAUUGUGUAUACAUUUUGAGUAUUUCACAGUCAGAUAAAUUUAUAUGUCAAAUACGAAUUGUGUAGGAAUAAUAUAUGGAAGAAAGUUCUGCGAUGUUAUAAAAUGCCUUUCCUUUUUAUUUAUUUCUUGCUAGUUUUCAAUAUUACCCAAAC
rnacentral:lncRNA from 1 species